UACGGGGGGGGCAAGCGUUGUUCGGAUUUACUGGGCGUAAAGGGCGCGUAGGUGGCGUCGUAAGUCAGGUGUGAAAUCUCGGAGCUUAACUCCGAAACUGCAUUUGAUACUGCGGUGCUUGAGGACUGGAGAGGAGACUGGAAUUUACGGUGUAGCAGUGAAAUGCGUAGAGAUCGUAAGGAAGACCAGUGGCGAAGGCGGGUCUCUGGACAGUUCCUGACACUGAGGCACGAAGGCCAGGGGAGCAAACGGG
rnacentral:rRNA from 1 species